GGUCUGGCCCACGGAGCUGUAGACCUCAAUGCUGCUUCCUUAGUCCCUUGGAAAACAUAAACUAUGAUCUGCCGUGCUUGUGAUUGUAUGCUUCCUUCUUCCAUUUUUCUUUUAGUUUUUAGUAAUUUUUAGUGGUGGUUAGCAUAGACAUGAGUGAAGUAAGUAUCAGGAAGUGAUGAGAGCACCAUCUACACCGCAAAUAGAGAAGGUUAUUUUUCUGUGUAAUUUUUAAAAAUAACUCUAAAAAAGAAAUCCAUGGGAAUAAUUUACCCAAAUAAUAUGAGUAGAGAAGAAACCCUUAGGUACACUUUCUACAUAUAAAUUGGCUUGAAUCAGCUUUUAUAAGAAAUAAAUUUAUCCUCUGUGAAUACUUUUUUUAGUAAAUUAUGAGCAUUUGUCACAUUAGAAAGUUGUUUUGUUUUGUUUUCUUUUUUUUUUUUACAUUGUGGGAGCUUUUCAAAAAGGCUAUAUAAUAUUCUCCCACCUGCUGUUUUAAUUUAUGAAAAGGAACAUUAAUUCUUGAGACAAUUAAAAAUUUACAUAAUACUUUUUAUUCAGACAACAACAACAGGCUUCCUAGAUGCAUGAGUAAAUGUGUGUGCUCUCUCUAAAAUCAAGUAUAGCCUUUGACGUGAGGGCCAGGCUGUUUCUGUGUGUCUGGCUAUGGGCAUGGAACAUUUUUCUGAUGGAAUAUUUGUCAUAUUUUCUUUCUUUUUUUUUGUUUGUCUCUUUUCAAAAGCUUGAAAAUGUUGUAUUAUUGUUUUCUGAAAUCCUUCCUAUCUCGACCACAACGUCUUGGACAAGACGUUGUAAGAACUCACAAAGACAAUCAGGGAUGUUGGAUAUCCGUGCAGAAGACAUUGUGUGAAAACGCAGUAGGGUUUCUCUAGAGAAAGGCUUGCUUUUUAACAUCAUGCUUCCUGCCUAUGCAUUUGGAAGACUCACUUACAAGACCACAUAAUAAACACUCUGAAUAGGUCAGCCCCAUGGAAACUAUAGCCUCUGCGUUGGAAGCAAAGGUGUCAGGGGUUACGACACUCAGCCAUCCAGAGCAGCGUGACAGGGCUCCAGAGACUCAGAACCUACCAGGUGGUAGGUAGCUUUUUAUAACCAUUUUUAAAAAUCUUAACAUUUUCUCUCUUUUCCUUUAAUUCUUGUUGUACAUGUAUACAUGCAUCUAAGACUGUUUUUAUACAAAAGACAAGUAUAACCUGGUGAGGCUGUUCAGUGGUGCUCAUACGUGUGCUUUCUGGACUGACUAUUUGGGGUUGGGACCACUGGGACCAGUUUGGGGAUCACCUCUGGGGAAGACUGACUUUCCCUCUCAUGGGCAAUCAUUAAUCACCUGUGGUUCUUUACCUAGGGGCGGAGCUUUGUGAGAUCCCGCUCACCCUCAUUGGAAUGUCAACUAGUGACAGCCAUAUUGUUCGAUUUCAUGGAUGCAACUUUCCUGUUCUAUAUAGAAGACACAAUCUCACACCUGGUUCUCUGGCUCUUAACGAUCUUACUGGCCCCUCUAUAAUGUUUGUUCUGUUGCUAAUCUGUCAGAGUUCAUUUGAAUUCUAAAUGGAGCUUAUUGUUGGUAAUUUAUAAGACUGUUUUUUUGUUUUUGUUUUUAUAAAUUGGGUAAAUGAAACAGUUGUCUUGAUUUGCUAUUCGUAAUUCCUUACAAGGAACACUUUUAACAUGAAGUCGUUCCAGGUAACCUGUGCUAUAGAAUGGGCACUGUAAAGUCACCUUGGUGGGCCACUGAGCCCAAACGAUAUUGCCAUGAUUGAGCACUGCUUCUCUAGUCCCACCUCCUCCUCCACCUACAGCCUCAAGGACAAGACCCAUAAGGAAAAGCUCACUGUCUAAAGGAAAAAAAAAUUUUUUCCUUGCUACUUUACAAUUUUAAAACCACAUUAAUUAUAUUCUGUCAGAUAUAAAAGGAAGGUUUUGACCUUGUAACCUUGGAUCCUUCAUUGCACUUUCCCUUUUACAAACCUGUUCUAAGAGUCUGAACAAUGACCAACACGCGAUACUGUGCCGUUUUUUCACAUCACAUCAAUGUAAGUGAAAAGGAAGGAUUUGCAGGAGAGGGCUUGGAUCUAUCAAUGGGCUUUUGUUAUGCUUUGAAAUGCAAAAUAGGCAAUUGAGAUAUUAUCCCUUGUUGAGAAAGAAAAAUCCCAUUUUUCUGAAACCAUGUUGGUAUUCUGAAGAAAAUUAUUUUUGCACUCAAAGUAUCUAGAAUUUUCUGUGCUUUAUUUCUCCUGUGCCUAUGUAUCGGCAUGUAUUAAGUUAGAAGACAGCCGACAUUUCUUCCAAGAGAGAAAAAAAAGUAUCUAUGGUAUUGAAAAAGAUUAAUGGACUUUGAAUUCAGAGGUAGACACAGUCCUCUAUGUGAAAGAUAAAUGAUUUUUCAACAAGAAUAGCUCAGGGACUAGUGUCAUUGCAGUCAAUAGAUGGAGAGGAUGGGGCCACCAGGAGAGCCACUAAGCAACACCUGCAUGCUUUGAUGUGCCCUUUGAUAAAAGGGGUUGCUUAAGUUGGCUUGGAGCAAGACUAAAAGCUGCCUUGGUCCAAGGUGCUGCAGUCUCAGUGAGAGAUGAUUGCCCUAAAGGUGUGCCUUUUAUGAGCUAAUGGUACAGUUGCUAAAGGCAACUGUGUUAUUGUCAGCCAUAAAGAUUAGCACAUAAGAAUUGGGCGCUCUUUAGAUCAGUCGUAAACAUCAAGAAGUCUUCCAAUCAGUUCACCUUCUUCUCUGUUUUCCUUACAACAGUAGAAAAGUUUCCCCAGUGUUUAUCUUAUGCUUUCCAAAUACCAAUAUUCACUACAGAUCAGAACCAUAGGUCUUUAAGAAUGAUUAUUGGAGUGCAUUUAAGGGGGUGUGUGAUAUUAGCAUGGCGUUAUUUUUUUUCAUUCUAAACC
rnacentral:lncRNA from 1 species